rnacentral:lncRNA from 7 species
GGAGGAGGACAGCUUCCUUUUUCAUCAGUUGAAUCCUUGGGCAAAAAUCGAUAAAUCAUAAAAUUAUUAACAAAAGCCAAUGUAUCAGAGUGUGCAGCACAACUAAUAGUUUAUAAGCUUUCUUUUAUAAACGUCCAUAACUGACAUAGCUCUGCUACUCAGAGUGACUAUGGAACUCAGAGAUGUUCUUCUGCCUCUAGGUACUUAUGACAGCCCAUCUCAAGCUGCAAAGAAUCCUUAGGGCAGGCAGCGCUAUUAGAUGAGGCAGCAGGAAUUUUGAUACAGGCAAAAUGAAGAAUGUGCAUCAGAGAUAUUUCAGCAGUUUUUCUUGGGAAUCCCACCAGGAUCAGUGCUCUCACCCACUGCAUGCCAGAGGCAUCUGCCACUUUAACCUGUGACAGCCUUUGCUCUGAUGUGAGAAGAUGGUGAUGUGGCUGAAGCAGGGCUAGAUGAGAGAAGCAUCAGUAUCUGCUGGGAGGACUACUUUGAAACAUGCCCUUUGUUUGAAAGCUGCUUUUCCUUGAGGGAGAAUAAGAUGUCUUUGCAUAAUUUACUUCUACCUUUAACGUGGCAGUGGAUACAGAUAAAUGUGAAAAUUACAUUUACCAUUUUUUAUGUACAGGCUGGAUAUUUGCCCCUUAACCUUUCCUCUCCUCCCUUCACCUCCCCUUUUCUUUAGCCAGUAUGAACAAUCUGAUGAUGAUAAAAACCUUUUUUUUUUAUCUACGGUGUCAAGUAAGUAUUUUGAGAAGUUAGCACAGCCAACAAAGAAGCAUGUGAUAUCAUGAGAGAAAUCACAUACAUUUUUGCAUGUUGUAUAUAUUUAUAUAUUUAAUAAGAUAUUUAUAUUUCAUCAUAUAAAUUUAUCAGUGUCAGAGGUAGAAAAAAGUAAUCUAAUAUUUAGCAAAAUUCAAAAGGGCACUGAGAGAAGUGUAGUGUACAGCUCAACAAAUAAUAAAUAAAAUGUUCAGUAGGUGGAUGGACACAACAUAGCAUGGCAGCAAGGACAUACCAAGUGUUGUCUUCAACCUCCUUUUUCUCCCAGGUGCUUACACAGGAAAGUCCUCAGUACUCUAGAGGAAAAGAAAGACCUCUGUAAAAUUCAUGGGAUUGAAUUGUCAUCAGUCCCACCACUAUGAGUCUAAUGGGAUAUAUCUUUCAAUAUACUUGUUUCUUUCUGUGAGUGCAAUAAGUAGUUUGUCAUGAAAGUGCAAACUCACUAGUAAUUAUAUAGAAUUACAAUUUCCAGAGUUCAAAUCAUAAUAUUAAAUGCUGUCACUAUAAUAUGUGACAUUUUGUGAAAUAAUACUGUGUGGCUCACUGCUCAACUGUCUCAUUAAUAAAGCUCAGUAAAAAGAUGUCUAUUCCAUGUCAUCUGUGCUUUUUCAUGCUUCUUCCCUAGAAAAGCAGUAUUUAGUUUAGCUUUCUUAAAACUGAUGUUUACUUAUGUUAAAAUUCAGUUAUC